CCUACGGGGGGCAGCAGUGAGGAAUAUUGGUCAAUGGGCGUAAGCCUGAACCAGCCAAGUCGCGUGAGGGAUGAAGGUUCUCUGGAUCGUAAACUUCUUCUAUAAGGGAAUCAAGUGUGUGACGUGUCCUAUUUUGUAUGUACCUUAUGAAUAAGGAUCGGCUAACUCCGUGCCAGCAGCCGCGGUAAUACGGAGGGUCCGAGCGUUAUCCGGAUUUAUUGGGUUUAAAGGGUGCGUAGGCGGCAGUUUAAGUCAGCGGUGAAAGUCUGUGGCUCAACCAUAGAAUUGCCGUUGAUACUGGGGGGCUUGAGUAUGUUUGAGGCAGGCGGAAUGCGUGGUGUAGCGGUGAAAUGCUUAGAUAUCACGCAGAACCCCGAUUGCGAAGGCGGCCUGCCGGGCCAUGACUGACGCUGAUGCGCGAAAGCGUGGGGAUCAAACAGGAUUAGAUACCCUGGUAGUC
rnacentral:rRNA from 1 species